GGGACUGAUCGGUUUCUACAUAUUGAAAAUUAUAUUUUUAAAUAAUAAUUGCAAAACAUAAUAUAUUUGUUUUUUCUAACAAAAAAGUCUAUGCUUAGUUUUUAAUUUGUUUGAAUAUCAAACAUACUGUAUAUUAGGUAUAAUUUGAUUUAUAUAGAAUAUAUGCUCUUAAUUUAUAAGAUAAUUACUUAUAUUUUAAGCAAAGUAAAAAUGAUGAAUUUUUUAAUAAAUGAAAUUUAGUAUUUCAUUUUUGUAUAAUAAUGUUAUUUGAUUUCAAUAUGGACGUGGGUUCAAUUCCCUCCAGUUCCA
rnacentral:tmRNA from 1 species